GAUCGAAAAAAAUGUUCUUGGGCGUGCAGCUUUGCACAUUAUGGGGGUAUAUUCGUAUCAGAAUCUGAAACCUAAAAAAAUUCGCCGGUGCCAGAGGUUCUUCCACGGUCGCAGGGGGAUAAUGAGGAACCUCUGGCACCCAGGGUGGGGUACAUGUUAAACUAUCUGGAUUUUCUGAUCUCACUCAGUUGAAGGGUUUUAUAGAUGGAAAUUUCGAGUGUAAUUUUUAUACAUUUAUUUAGACCUAAUCAGGAGCAGCUGUAACAAAUGCAACUAUAUAUGCCCC